rnacentral:rRNA from 1 species
CCCGCUCAGAAACUCACAUGAAUUGACGGGGCCCGCACAAGCGGUGGAGCAUGUGGUUUAAUUCGAUGAUACGCGAGGAACCUUACCUGGGCUCAAAUGUAUGUUGACGUAUUCUGAAAGGGAUACUUCUUCGGACAAUAUACAAGGUGCUGCAUGGUUGUCGUCAGCUCGUGCCGUGAGGUGUCGGGUUAAGUCCCAUAACGAGCGCAACCCCUAUCAUUAGUUGCCAUCAGGUCAAGCUGGGGACUCUAAUGAAACUGCCUACGCAAGUAGUGAGGAAGGUGGGGAUGACGUCAAAUCAGCACGGCCCUUACGUCCAGGGCUACACACGUGCUACAAUGGUCGGUACAAAGGGUUGCCAAGCCGCGAGGUGGAGCUAAUCCCAUAAAACCGAUCGUAGUCCGGAUCGCAGUCUGCAACUCGACUGCGUGAAGUCGGAAUCGCUAGUAAUCGUGAAUCAGAAUGUCACGGUGAAUACGUUCCCGGGCCUU